ACAGGUGAUGAAAUUUCCAAUAAACAUUCGCAGUUUUCACGGAGCGACAUCGAACCCAAUCUUGUCGCAAAUGACGGCCAUAGUCCUUCCUUUGGAUGUCUGAUGUU